rnacentral:rRNA from 1 species
UACGUAGGGGCCUAGCGUUGUCCGGAUUUAUUGGGCGUAAAGAGCUCGUAGGCGGUUCGGUAAGUCAGGUGUGAAAUCUCCACGCUCAACGUGGAGGCGCCACCUGAAACUGCCGUGACUCGAGUCCGGUAGGGGAGUGUGGAAUUCCUGGUGUAGCGGUGAAAUGCGCAGAUAUCAGGAGGAACACCAGUGGCGAAGGCGGCACUCUGGGCCGGUACUGACGCUGGAGGAGC